rnacentral:sRNA from 1 species
UGGCAAAGUGCUUGCCAACCUCAACCGCCAC